AUUGAACGCUGGCGGCAUGCCUUACACAUGCAAGUCGAACGGCAGCACGGGAGCAAUCCUGGUGGCGAGUGGCGAACGGGUGAGUAAUAUAUCGGAACGUGCCCAGUCGUGGGGAUAACGUAGCGAAAGCUACGCUAAUACCGCAUACGAUCUAUGGAUGAAAGCGGGGGAUCGCAAGACCUCGCGCGAUUGGAGCGGCCGAUAUCAGAUUAGGUAGUUGGUGAGGUAAAGGCUCACCAAGCCGACGAUCUGUAGCUGGUCUGAGAGGACGACCAGCCACACUGGGACUGAGACACGGCCCAGACUCCUACGGGAGGCAGCAGUGGGGAAUUUUGGACAAUGGGCGCAAGCCUGAUCCAGCAAUGCCGCGUGCAGGAUGAAGGGCCCUUCGGGUUGGUUAAAC
rnacentral:rRNA from 1 species